rnacentral:rRNA from 1 species
GACGAACGCUGGCGGCGCGCCUAACACAUGCAAGUCGAACGGAGCGCACGAGAAGAUCCCUUCGGGGUGAUUUUUGUGUUUGCCUAGUGGCGAACGGGUGAGAAACACGUGAAUAACCUACCUCUGAGUGGGGGACAACAGUUGGAAACGACUGCUAAUACCGCAUAAGACCACGGUACCGCAUGGUACAGAGGCCAAAGGAGCAAUUCGCUCAGAGAUGGAUUCGCGUCUGAUUAGAUAGUUGGUGGGGUAAUGGCUCACCAAGUCUGCGAUCAGUAGCCGGACUGAGAGGUCGAUCGGCCAAAUUGGGACUGAGACACGGCCCAGACACCUACGGGAGGCAGCAGUGGGGAAUAUUGCACAAUGGGCGAAAGCCUGAUGCAGCGACGCCGCGUGAGGAAAGAAGGUUUUCGGAUUGUAAACCUCUGUCUUUGGGGACGAAGAAGUGACGGUACCCAAGGAGGAAGCCACGGCUAACUACGUGCCAGCAGCCGCGGUAAGAC